UUUAGCCAAAACAGUACUCCUUGGACCCAAGGACAUCUGGAGACAAGUGAUUCCUCUUGGGUUUGUUAGUGCUUGAACACCAAGACCUUCAUCAGCCCCGUGAAGACCCAGGACAGGUGUCAGCCAUGAAGAUCCUCUACCUGCUCUUCCCCUUCUUCCUCCUGUUGGUCCACGGUGCUACAGGAAACCUGAUAGAAUGCAGGCGAAGAGGUGGAAUCUGUACUUAUGGGCGCUGCCGCUACCCUUCAAAAGUAAUCGGAAGAUGUUCAUAUUUUCAGCCGUGCUGCAGAGGUAUUUGGGGCUGAGACCCUGAACUCUGCAAGCAGGACGUCCCCUUCGCUUCUGGCUCCUGGACCCGUCUCCUGAUGUCCUCUCCCCUCCCUGCCUCUGCCGUCCCCAGGGGGUGUGACAGCAGGAGUGGAAGCGCUGCUCCUGCUGGGUGCCCGGGCGCUCGUGGGCCGGAGACAUCCCAUCAGGGAGCCGGUGCUGUUUGGGCAGAGGCUGCUUUUGCCGGCUUGAAUAAAGACGAGCAGCUUGGCAUUGCA